ACCUGACCGGCCGUCUUCCAGAGGCUCGACGACUUCCACCGUGCCCCGCCCCGGCGAACCACCUUCCUCCCCGCCUUCUCGAGCUAGCAUCGGAUCCAUCGAUCCCGGUAGGGAGCCGUCCUUGAUCUACCUGCCAGAUCCUGCCUCUGCUCAUCUCCCCCGUGCCAGAUGCAGCUCGGUUUGGUGGGCACCACUGUCCUCCCAUGGACGUGUGUGCAGUGCAGUCCGGCGGCGGGGGUAGCCAUCUCCUCUCACGCUUCCAGCAGCAUCAGGAGGAGGAUUGUGGUGAAAUGUUCUCCCAGUGCAGCUUGCUAUCGUUGCAGGUCAGUUGGGCAUCGGUGCAGUACGCAAUCACUUGAGAGGACGAUUGGCACGCACUUCGGUUUCAGCCGUGCGACACUGCAGUAUGGACGUGCGCGGCAGGAGGUUCGUUGCUGCAGUUUACUUGGUGUUGGCAGGAGGUUCUCCAGCUGGCCGAUGUAGUUUACCUGGUAUAGUUCGGCCGGCUGAUGGUUGCGGUUAAAAGGAAAAUUGUGUGGAGUCCACUUUCUUUGGGAUGAAAAAAAUAAGUGCAAAUGUGGUUUACUAAUUAUUUUCUCAGGGUUCACUUAA